GGGGGAAAAUUAAUUAAUUUAAUAAUAAUAAAAGAAAUUUUUAUUUAUAUAUUUUAAUGGGGGUUAAAGUAUAUUAAAAGAAAAAAUUUGAAAAUUUAUAGUGAAAUAGUAUUGUAAAAGAAUAAUGAAAUAAAAAUGAAAAUUUAAUUAUUAUAAAAGUAAAUUUAAUUUAUUGUAUCUUGUGUAUCAGAGUUUAUUAAAAAUAAUUUUUAAUUAAAAGUUUUUCGAAUUUAAAAGAGUUAAUUAAUUAAAAUUUUUAUUGUAGCAUAAAUAUAUUAAAUAAUUAAUUUGAAAUGAAAUGUUAUUCGUUUUUAAAUAUAUCUAAUUUUUUUAGAAAUAAAUUAAAUUUAGAAUUUUUUUUUUAUUUUAUAAUUUAUUAUUUAUAAAAUAAAAAUUAAAUUUAAUAUUUUAAGGGAUAAGCUUUAAAUUAAAUUUUUAUAAUAUUAAUUUAGUUAUUUAAAAUUAAAAUUUUUAAAAUUUAUAUUGUUUAUAAAUUAUAUUUUUUUAUAAAAAUUUUUAGUUUAAAUAAGAUUUUUAUUUAUAUUUAAUUUUUUAUAAAAAAAUGAUUUUUAAUAAAAUAAUAUUAGUUAUAAUGAUAAAAUUAGUAUAAUUUAAAUAGUUAAUAAAAUAAUUUUAUAAAAUAAUUUAAAAAUUAAAAAAAAGGAAUUCGGCAAAUAUUAAUAUUCACCUGUUUAACAAAAACAUGUCUUUUUGAUUAUAAUUUAAAGUCUAAUCUGCCCACUGAUUUUUUAUUAAAGGGCUGCAGUAUAUUGACUGUACAAAGGUAGCAUAAUAAAUAGUCUUUUAAUUGAAGACUUGUAUGAAAGAUUUGAUGAAAUAUUAACUGUCUCUUUUUUAUAUUUAGAAUUUAAUUUUUUAGUAAAAAAGCUAAAAUUUAUUUAAAAGACGAGAAGACCCUAUAGAGUUUUAUAUUUAUUUUAUUUAAAAAUUAUAUAUUUAUGUAUAAUUUUUAAAUAAAAUAAAUAUUUUAUUGGGGUGAUGGAAAAAUUAAUAAAACUUUUUUUUUUUACUUACAUAAAUUAAUGAAUAUUUGAUCCAUAAUUUAUGAUUAUAAGAAAAAAUUACCUUAGGGAUAACAGCGUAAUUUUUUUUUUUAGUUCAUAUAAGAAAAAAAGUUUGCGACCUCGAUGUUGGAUUAAGAUAAAAUUUAAAUGUAGAAGUUUAAAAUUUUUGAUCUGUUCGAUCAUUAAAAUCUUACAUGAUCUGAGUUCAAACCGGUGUAAGCCAGGUUGGUUUCUAUCUUUAGAAAAUUAAAAUAUUUUAGUACGAAAGGAUCAAAUAUUUAAAAUAAUUUUAAUUAAUAGUGAAUUUUAUUAAUAAAUAAAGAAAAUAUAUAUAUAAAUAUUACUAUUUUGACAGAAAAAAUG
rnacentral:rRNA from 1 species